AGUAACGAUAAAGCGGGUGAAAAGCCCGCUCGCCGAAAGACCAAGGGUUCCUGUCCCACGUUAAUCGAGGCAGGGUCAGUCGACCCCUAAGGCGAGGCUGAAAAGCGUAGUCGAUGGGAAACGGGUUAAUACUCCCGUACUGUUUGUGACUGCGAAGGGGGGACAGAGAAGGCUAGACUAUCCGGGUGACGGUAAUCCCGGUUCAAGCGUAUAGGUGGGGAGAGUAGGCAAAUCCGCUUUUCCAUAAACACUG
rnacentral:rRNA from 3 species